GACUUGGUAGCCUAGUUGGUAAAGGCAGCACUUCCAUUAUAGUCUCUCAGCUUCUAGCUAAGGUUUCUGGUUCAAAUCCUGCCCAACUUG
rnacentral:tRNA from 1 species